CGGCGCGCGUGAGUGUGCGCGUGCGCGUCCCCGUCCUCCGUUCGCACGCAGCUGAUCAAUGAGGAUUUAUUCACUUCAGAGGAGCAGAGAUCAAUAUUUCACUUGUUUUGACCGGAUAUGAAAUAAAAGAACACAGAAGAGCAACGGGUUUCUCAGUCUCUGAAGGACACGAGGAGACGAGGACACGAGGAGACGAGGACAUGAAGACAAGAGGAGACGAGGACAUGAGGACACGAGGACACGAGGAGACAACAACACAAACCUGCUGCUUCCUGUGAGGUGG
rnacentral:lncRNA from 1 species